rnacentral:lncRNA from 1 species
AACAUUCUGUCUUGGGAAUAAAGCAGAGUUCAAGUUAUGGGAAGAAGAAUUCUGUGAAGAAGUGUAAUAGUAAGAGAAGCCACUUUCUCUUCUACUCCUUGACUAUGGACUUGUGUACUGUGGCUUUGGGAGAAAUAGUGCCAUACAUUGGUCAAUGGCUCAAAGCAUAUAUUGUUCUUUGCAGACAGGCCCAACCUUACAAAAUGUUUCUCAGCUCAGGUUGUAACUGAGUCUGUAGUAGGCCAUUCCAUUGUUAUAUUGGGCCAGAUAUUUCUAGAUGGUGGGGUGUGCAGUAAGACUAUUUCUUUCUAUGAUUUGCAAACUCUAAUUACACUUCUAAGAUGUGUUCCUUAGAAGCUGUGUUGAGUAGGAUACCAUGAUAUUGAGUAAGGAAUUAUGUGGUAGUGUUGGCAGAAACACAAUGGGCAGGAAAGGCAAAUCCAUACACAGAAUAGAUGUCUAUUCUAGCACAAACAAAUGGCUUUCAUUUCCAUGAUGGAAGGGGUGCUUUAUAAUCAAUGUACCAACACGCAGUUGGCUGAUCGCCUUGGGAAAUGGUGCCAUAUUGGAGACUCACAGUUUAGAUUCUGUUCUUGAUAAUUUGGGCACUCAGUGCCAACAGAUUAGCUUGGUGAGGGGAAGUCCACUUUGUUGGGUCUGUGCUUCAUUUCUGCCACUGUGACCAUUUUGUACAUAAGCCCAUUAAAACAGAAGAUGAGGAAAGAUGCUGACUGAUAGUCCCAGAACAAGUCACUUUGUUCACCCCUAUUGUUGAAGCCUCCUCUACAGUGGAUGUACCUUGGUAAGCACUCACACAAUUUCCUUCACAUUUAGCACUCAUUCUGAAAGAUCUGUGCAUGUGUCUCUUCUUCAGCCUUCCUAGUUAUCAAUCUUCCAGGCUUGUUCUUUUCAAUUUCCUGACCAGGUGACCAAAGCAUUAUUCACUGUCCACAGAUGAGUGUACCACAGGCCAUCCCUCCUUCCUGGCUGAGGGGACUUCAAGGUGUACUGCCAAAACUUCUGCCCUCUGGGAGGGUUUUCCUUCACCAUUCCUCUUCAGCGGCAUCUCUGAGCUGGAAUGCAUUGGCAUGAUCUCGGCUCACUGCUACCUCCAUCUCCCAGAUUCAGUAUCUGAGGAGGUUAGAAAACACCAUGAGGCCUGAGCAGAUAAUGUUCAGCAGGACACAGGUGAUCUGAUUAUGAAGUAUAAUAUUUGCAAUGAAAGUUUCCAGAAAGAAAGUAUACAGAUAAAAUGCUAAAGUUUCAUGGUACCACACUGUGGAGUAUCAUAGAUAUGAUAUAGAAUGAAGCAUAAAGGAGGGAAAUAAUAUAUAUGACCUAAGAUAUCCAUAUGUUUGGUAAAGAGAUAACAGGUAUUAAAAUGAAUUUGAAAUUUCAAUGCUAGAAGGUAUCACUAAGAUUUAAUGAGAUAUGAUUCAUGAUAAUUGUGGAAGUGUAUAAUUUGUUCAAAAAGUAUAUCUAGAGAAAGAGUGGGGUCUUCUCAUGUAAAUCAAGGCUAUAUUGACCUAUAUUUAGAUCUAGGAAACUGAGCAUGUAUCUAAAUGGAGAAAGAAACAAGUGAUAUAGGAGGACUAUACCAUAAACUGAUAGAAUAGUACUAGAAAAUGUCCAGGGGAUUUGUUACCCACAUCUGUUCCAUCAGUAUAUAAUUUCUUCACCUCCUGUCUUCCUGCCUGGAUCACCAUUAUUAGUAGCCUAGUUUGUGACCUUUCAUUUUUUUGCAUUAUUUAUGUGAUGCUGUAGAUAACAUGUACAAUACAAAUAUAUACAUAUAUACAUACAUGUGUAUAUAUGCAGUCACUUAAAAUCUUGCUUAUUUUACAAUAAAGAAAUAACAGACACUUUUCUGUAUCUGCUUUUCUCACUCAAUGCUACUUUGUGAAAUCUCCCCAGGUUACCUAAAAUAGUUCUUAUUCAUUAUUUUUAA